rnacentral:rRNA from 1 species
GUAGGGAAUCUUCCACAAUGGACGCAAGUCUGAUGGAGCAACGCCGCGUGAGUGAAGAAGGUCUUCGGAUCGUAAAACUCUGUUGUUAGAGAAGAACACGAGUGAGAGUAACUGCUCAUUCGAUGACGGUAUCUAACCAGCAAGUCACGGCUAACUACGCGCCAG